ensembl:snRNA U2 U2 spliceosomal RNA
AUCGCUUCUCAGCCUUUUGGCUAAGAUCAAGUGUAGUAUAGCAGACAUCCCUGCCUAGUACUAGGGGGCUAGCGGGCUAUGUGUGGCACAUGCUUCUUGCUUUCCAUAUUCAGCUAUAUUUUUUUAUAUCAGGAGUCAGACCGAAGCCCUAUGUGACUCAAAUGGGCAUGUCAGAUGGUGGACUGGGCCAGUAUAGCCCCUCCCUCA